AUUGAACGCUGGCGGCAGGCCUAACACAUGCAAGUCGAGCGGCGCGGCGGACGGGUGAGUAAUGCCUAGGGAUCUGCCUGUUAGUGGGGGAUACCGUCCGGAAACGGGCCCUAAUACCGCAUACUAUCAGAUGAGCCUAGGUCGUAUUUGCUAGUUGGAGGGGUAACGGCAUACCAAGGCGACGAUCCGUAACUGGUCUGAGAGGAUGAUCAGCCACACUGGAACUGAGACACGGUCCAGACUCCUACGGGAGGCAGCAGUGGGGAAUAUUGGACAAUGGGCGAAAGCCUGAUCCAGCCAUGCCGCGUGAGUGAAGAAGGUCUUCGGAUUGUAAAGCACUUUAAGUAGAGAGGCGUUACCAACAGAAUAAGCACCGGCUAACUUCGUGCCAGCAGCCGCGGUAAUAC
rnacentral:rRNA from 1 species